ensembl:lncRNA
CGAUCACAUUUACAAAUUGUUUGUCUAACUUAUAUAUUGAUUAUUUUCUUGAUCGAAAACCUUUUUAAAAUGGAGAAAAAAAAUCACCCUCCAAGAUUUUUGACAAGUACUUUAUGUUGCAUAUUUUUGGUUUUAUAAGGACACUAAACAGGAAAAUGCAGCAAAACCUCAUAUGUGAGAAGAUUAAAGCUCAUAUUCAAACUGCUGAAGGUUGGAUUGGAACGUCCUCUCUGCUCAGGAAGGUUCCUCACUGAGUGAAAGGCCUCAAUGCUUCCUUACGUAGCUCCUUUAGCACCUUUCCUUGACGUGUUCCACAGAGGUUAAGGAAAGGUGGUUAGGAAAGGAGGUUAGGAGGUCGUUUUUUGACAAUUCGAAUGCAGCCAAAAUGUUUUUCCAUCAGUGAUCAGCAACAGGAAGUACUUCAACUAUCAAAGUAAAAGUUCCUCCAAUCUCACUGUUAUAUUAUUUGAUCAAUGUUAUUAUUGACGUAUUAACUUUGAACUUGUAGCUGAAAUUACAAAAAUGUUAUUCAACAUUUAGAUUUUUAAUAUUCUCCUCUGAGUGAUGAUGGUAAAUGUUUAUGGUUUAAUAUGAACGACCCUUCAUCAGUAUGAGCAGCACAUGUUCGUACAGCACACACACACACAAACACACACACACACAGCAGCUGUGUCUGAGGUGGAAGCACGGUGUCAAGUUGUUCCCCGAGAAGAAGAGGCUUCUGGGUAAUUUGAUCUUCUCGUCCCGUCUCCUGUUGUUGCUUCUUCUCCCCCCUGGUAUAUUUGGCAGCUGUCAGUGUGUGUGUGUGUGUGUGUGUGUGUGUGUGUGUGUGCGUGUGCUAUUUUAAUGUUCCUCUACAGACUCAACAUUCCUCCAGGAGUCAGCUGUGGACCUCCGUCACACACACACACACACACACACACACACACACACAUGUUUUCAUGGUUUCCAGAGGGAUCGGCGCUUCGGUCGAGGCUGAGGGUCUUUGUCGAUAAGAAUGAGUUUCAUUUGAUGUUGGUGAUCCCCUGUUGGGGCGAGGGACUGGAGUCUGAGCUGAAGGAGGUUCAGGACUACACUGAGACGGGUUCACAUAGAGGAUCAGGACUACACUGAGACUGGUGCAUACGCAUGCACAGUGCCAGCGUUGUCAUGUCGUGGGGGGGUAUCCGGGGGGGGGGCAUCCAGUGCUGCCAUGCUGGGAUCGGUGCCGUUGCUGCCUUCUUGAAAUGUGAGGGUGUGUGAGCUGUGCCUUUAAAGGACAGUCCACCACAGUCAGCAGGGUUUAGUUAGCAGCAAUGGAAUACUGUAUUCAUAUGUUUAGACGGUAAUAAUCAAUUAAUAAAUGUCACUUUUAUAGUCAGGAUGCCUUCAGAAAUCCGGCAUUCAAAGCACCCCGGUCAGGAGUUAUUAAAUAUAUUUUAGCAUUGAUAAGCCCUGGUGCUUUUUUCAGCCUAAUAUUUUUGACUUUUUGUCUUUUUUUGUGACAUAUUUUGACUUUUUUUCAAAACAUUUUUCAAUACAAGUUUUUUAAACUUUUUUUUCAUGACAUAUUUCUUCACAACAUAUUUUGACUUUUUUUCAAAACAUUUUUCGACCUCAUUUUUGACCUAUCAUGGCAUAUUUUGACACAUUUAAAAAUGUUUCGUCCUAAUAUCUUUUUUUCGCGACAUAUUUCGACGCAAAAUAUUACUUUUUUUAAUUAAAAAAUGUAAUGUUUUUUUUUUUAACUUUUUUUCCUUGACACAACAUAUUUUUACAUUUAAAAAAACCCAUUUUUGACAUAAUAUUGUUUGACUUUUUUCCUUGACAUAUUUCGACAUAAUAUUUGACUCUUUUAAAAAUAACAUUGUGUGUAUUUGGGUUAAAGUGUCUCUUCAGCCACAAAGGAUGAAGGGCAAGAAAUCACGGUGCACGGAGUCAGAACAGUGCGUGUGUUCGUGCGCGUGUGCGCGUGUGUGGAGACCCAUGUUUGCAGGAGUCGGAGGCGCGCGGGCGGGAGGAUCCUCCGCGAGGGCGCAGCGUCCCGCUGUGAGGCCGAGCUGCUGCGGCGGUUAUAUUUAGCUUCUGUUGCCAUGUGCCGAGAAUGUGCGCGGCAGAGGGAGGCGCGCGCACACCAGCACGCGCUCACACACUGCGGUAAAGACGUGCCCUCACUUGGCCACUAAAGGUGAACGCGCAUCGCUGCGAUAAUCUGCCUCACGCACCCAGAAUGCAGCGCGGUGCCUCCUCAUUGGCGGAGCAGGCGGCCAGGUGUCGCCAUGCAAACCCGAGCGGGCUGCGCCAAUCAGGGGGAGGCCACGUGCUCGCGGCGGCCUCUGAUUGGCCGGAGCUUCUUUUAAGGGCUUUUAAUUAUUAUAGUUACGAUGUUUAAUUGUCUUCAGGCGUUACACGUUUCUCCGGCGUGUUUUUGCUGCAUUCGGCACUAAAUGGUUCGAAUUGAAGGGAAAAUAUAAGAUAUAUAACACUUAUUAAUAAUUAAUCAACGUGUGACUUAUUCUGAGAAAUAUUUGUAUUUGAUUUCUUACAAUCUGUCAGACUGUCUGAUUUCGUAAUUAGUAACUUUUAUUUUGUGAUUUAAAAUGUUUGUCUUAUAUUUUAAUUAAUUGGAUCAUUUUGAUU